rnacentral:rRNA from 1 species
UGGGGAAUUUUGGACAAUGGGGGCAACCCUGAUCCAGCAAUGCCGCGUGAGUGAAGAAGGCCUUCGGGUUGUAAAGCUCUUUUGUCAGGGAAGAAACGGUUCUGGCUAAUAUCCGGAGCUAAUGACGGUACCUGAAGAAUAAGCACCGGCUAACUACGUGCCAGCAGCCGCGGUAAUACGUAGGGUGCGAGCGUUAAUCGGAAUUACUGGGCGUAAAGCGUGCGCAGGCGGUUGUGCAAGACAGAUGUGAAAUCCCCGGGCUCAACCUGGGAAUUGCAUUUGUGACUGCACGGCUAGAGUGUGUCAGAGGGGGGUAGAAUUCCACGUGUAGCAGUGAAAUGCGUAGAGAUGUGGAGGAAUACCGAUGGCGAAGGCAGCCCCCUGGGAUAACACUGACGCUCAUGCACGAAAGCGUGGGGAGCAAACAGG